UGGGGAAUUGUUCGCAAUGGGCGCAAGCCUGACGACGCAACGCCGCGUGGAGGAUGAAGACCUUCGGGUCGUAAACUCCUUUCGAUCGAGACGAAUACCCUCGGGAUGAAUACUCCCGAGGUUUGACGGUACCGAGAGAAGAAGCCCCGGCUAACUCCGUGCCAGCAGCCGCGGUAAUACGGGGGGGGCAAGCGUUGUUCGGAAUUACUGGGCGUAAAGGGCUCGUAGGCGGCCAACUAAGUCGGACGUGAAAUCCCUCGGCUUAACCGGGGAACUGCGUCCGAUACUGGAUGGCUGGAGUUUGGGAGAGGGAUGUGGAAUUCCAGGUGUAGCGGUGAAAUGCGUAGAUAUCUGGAGGAACACCGGUGGCGAAGGCGGCAUCCUGGACCAACACUGACGCUGAGGAGCGAAAGCCAGGGGAGCAAACGGGAUUAGAUACCCCCGUAGUCC
rnacentral:rRNA from 1 species